rnacentral:rRNA from 1 species
GACGAACGCUGGCGGCGUGCUUAACACAUGCAAGUCGAGCGGAGCGGCGAACGGGUGAGUAACGCGUGAGUAACUGCCCCCCUCUCUGGGCUAACAGUUGGCAACGGGUGCUAAUACCGGAUAGUGGGGGAUGACUCGCGUCCGAUCAGCUUGUUGGUGGGGUAGUGGCCGACCAAGGCGACGACGCGUAGCCGGCCUGGGAGGGGGACCGGCCACAUUGGGCUGAGAUACGCCCCAGACUCCUACGGGAGGCAGCAGUGGGGAGUAUUGCACAGUGGGGGAGCCCCUGAUGCAUCGACGCCGCGUGCGGUAUGACAUCCUUCUGUUUGUAAACCGCGUUCAGCCAUGACGCGGUAGUGGCAGAAGAAGCACCGGCUAACUACGUGCCAGCAGCCGCGGUAAUUC